rnacentral:rRNA from 1 species
UACGUAGGUGACCAGCGUUGUCCGGAUUUACUGGGCGUAAAGAGCGCGCAGGCGGUCGUUCAAGUCGAGUGUGAAAGCCCCCGGCUCAACUGGGGAGGGUCAUUCGAUACUGAUCGACUCGAAAGCAGGAGAGGGAAGUGGAAUUCCCGGUGUAGUGGUGAAAUGCGUAGAUAUCGGGAGGAACACCAGUGGCGAAGGCGACUUCCUGGCCUGUUCUUGACGCUGAGGCGCGAAAGCUAGGGGAGCAAACGGG